rfam:Branchiostoma floridae genomic scaffold BRAFLscaffold_322, whole genome shotgun sequence.
UUUGCCGGGAAUGCUCGCUUUAGGGGUUACCUACAGGUACUUAUUUACCUCCUUGCCCCUGGGAAGGUCUGAGACAAGGCUGAUUAAGGCUCUAGCAGGGCCCUGGCCUAAUGGCACAGGUGGGACACCAGAGAAAGGCUUGGCAGUGUGCAAAGAUGGCACAAGAGGCCCUCGACCAUUUGGGGAGGGCUGAUGCCUGCACUCGUGUCAUAGUUGGAAAAGUCCCAUAGCCAGCAACUUUGAGUUCAAUUUGCGAGGCAGCAUACUGUGCUGUAACUCAAUUCAGACUACUCUCCUGACAAA